GAGAAUGUCUGAUGGACUUAACCACACACUCAGCUGCAGAGCAGGCGCCCACCUUCACUUCAGUGGGAUGGAUCCCAGAGUGAGCCAUGUCAAACAAGGUCUGAGUUCACUGAGGAGAUAGACUCUGAUGGUAGAGGCAUGAACCAAAUAGCCCUCCCAAGGGGAGCUGGAUGGCCUACUGACAGAAUUGCAGGCUCAAGAAUGAGAAAGACCUGGGCUUAAACCCCCUGGCUGUGUCACUCUGGGAACAGAGCAUGGUCCUCCGUGGUCAUGGAAGAAGGGGA
rnacentral:lncRNA from 10 species